AACGAACGCUGGCGGCGUGCCUAACACAUGCAAGUCGAACGCGAAAGGGGGCAACCCCCGGUAGCGUGGCAGACGGGUGAGUAACACGUGGGUAACCUACCCGGAGGUGGGGGAUAACCCUUCGAAAGGAGGGCUAAUACCGCAUGACAUCGCGGGGACUUCGGUCCUUGCGAUCAAAGCUGGCCUCUGUUUACAAGCUAGCGCCACCGGAUGGGCCCGCGCCCCAUUAGCUAGUUGGUGAGGUAACGGCUCACCAAGGCGACGAUGGGUAGCCGGCCUGAGAGGGCGAUCGGCCACACUGGAACUGCGACACGGUCCAGACUCCUACGGGAGGCAGCAGUGAGGAAUAUUGCGCAAUGGGCGAAAGCCUGACGCAGCGACGCCGCGUGGAGGAAGAAGGUCUUCGGAUUGUAAACUCCUGUCGAGUGGGACGAAUGCCGUGAGGGUGAAUACCCCUCGCGGUUGACGGUACCGCUGGAGGAAGCCCCGGCUAACUCCGUGCCAGCAGCCGCCGUAAGAC
rnacentral:rRNA from 1 species